CAAAGUUUUGGGAUUACAGGCCUGAAACACCAUGCCCAGCCCCUUGGUUCUUUUUUAUAUCUGUUGAUUCUUAUUUCAAAACCUCCUGCCUUUGAACAUUUUAAGAAUGCUUAUUUAAAUUUUUUUUUUCAGAUUAUCCUAUUAUUCCUACUUCACUGGGUAUGAAAUCUUUUGUGUGCUGGUUUUGUGAAGUUUCUUUCCUGGUAUCAGAUUUAAUAUCUGUUUAUGUCUUGAGUCAUGGAACAUAUCUAUACCUGUAUUUUGUUGAUUCUAAGACUCAUAAUUUUUCCAUUUUAAUGUCUUUAAAAUUGGAAUUCGUCUUUCAAUUGAUGUCUUAAGAUCUUAUGACACAGUUUAAUUGUCAAACUGUUUUCGGCACAUAAUGACCUCAUUGACAUGAUGAAAUACAGUAUUCGAGUUUACUCAGCAGUGUCAGAUGGAUGCCUGCCACCUGAGACUGUAGUUUUGACUGACUUCCUUAUGGCUUUGUCUGUGCCCUUCUCUUUCGAGGGGGUUGUGUUCCUGUGCGUCACAUGUGUGCCCCGUCCGUUUUUUUAGGGUUGCAUCUGCUCAGGUCUUGUGAAAUAUCCUUGCUCUAGAACCAGUGUCUUAGUUCAGGGUUUCCUCACUGUGACUGUGCUCUGGCUUCAGGCCUCUGUCCUGUGCACAGUGACCCUUUUGCUAGUGGCUUGUGAUAGACAGCGUGCUUGUGCCAUGACUGCAGGCUGGCAGGCAGGUUUUCUGGUCCUCGUUUACACAAGGAUGGGGGACACCACUCUCCUGGCUCCUAAGUCCCUGCUCACUGGGACCUAUGCUUUGACUCGCUCUCACCUUCUCACCAUUCGUAGCCAUCACAGUGCAUGUAGCUCAUUCUCUACUGUUCUUCAUGUUGUUCUUCCCUCAAACCUUCACUUCCAAGUCUGCAGUUAUGGGGUGAGGGCCUGGCUCUUCUUCUUUCCUAGAGCAGACCAUAUUGCUCCCCGAUAAGGUUGGACAAGGGAGUGCUUCCAGGAGCGGGGCUCCUACAUCUGCCUGGUUAUUUCCAGUAUGUUCAUGGUGUGCAUUGAGCGGUGGACCUUUGAGAUCGGAAACUUCCUUGCAGGACUGAUUGACGUGACGGAGCUCGGCGCCCAGGGCAUCAUCUAUGAGCUGGCACUGGUGGCCUACAUGGUAAGAACUCGGGUGAGACUCGGGACGAGACCUGGCACCUUCUCUGCUUAAACCUGCUGCGCCACUGUCAUUGCAUUCACUCAGCAGAUGUGCACCAUGGGAAGGGAGGAACCAGGCAGCACAAGCGAGAGAGGACAGUGCAGUGGGGACAGCAUAGACGGGGGCCAGACACACGGAGCUGUCCUGGCCAUGUCGUUCCCCAACUGUGUGACCUGGGCUUGUUACUUAACCUUUCUAAGCUUCUAGGCACAGGUGUGGGUGGGAGUUGGGAGGGCGGAAGGAGGCUGUUGGAAUCGUCCAGGGGAACAAGCAGGAGCCUGCUGGUGGGGGAGGAGAGAAGGGGGUGAAUCAGUUACGUGUAGAGGCAGAAUCGACAGGUUAUGAUCAGGGUUUGGUUGUGGAAUACAAGACAGUGAAGGAGAAAGGUCACAGACUGCAGAGUUUCUGGCUUGAGCAACUGUAGCAGUAAUGCCUGUUUGCCUUUUGAUGCUUUUUGAAUGUCCCAACCCAGUGCAGAUAUCCCCUUUGUUUUGUUUGUUUCUUGUUUGUUUUGUUUUUAAAAGAUCAACUGAGGCCAUCUCAGCAGUGGCAUUAUGGGCCAUUUUUUUUUUAUG